GGUGAGUGUCACGCACUGACGCAGAAUCAUAUCUGUGGAGCGUAAGUGUGUCACAUUGCGCUGAUAACCUCUGUAGCCGCCGCCUAUCCUGUCUGAUACUGUAGUAAGUGUGCCACCACAGCUGGAGACCCAAUACAACCACAUUCUUUCUCGCC